rnacentral:rRNA from 1 species
ACUCAAAUGAAUUGACGGGGGCCCGCACAAGCAGCGGAGCGUGUGGUUUAAUUCGACGCAACGCGCAGAACCUUACCCAGACUGGACAUGCAGCUGCACGCGGGGGAAACGCCGCGGCCUUCGAGGGUGCUGCACAGAUGCUGCAUGGCUGUCGUCAGCUCGUGUCGUGAGAUGUUGGGUUCAGUCCCGCAACGAGCGCAACCCCUACGGUCAGUUACUCGUGUCUGACCGGACUGCCCAUUUGGGAGGAAGGCGGGGAUGACGUCAAGUCCGCAUGGCUCUUACGUCUGGGGCGACACACACGCUACAAUGGUCGGCGCAAUGCGCGGCUACUCCGCAAGGGGACGCAAAUCGCCAAGGCCGACCGCAGUGCAGAUUGGGGGCUGCAACUCGCCCCCAUGAAGGUGGAGUUGCUAGUAACCGCGUAUCAGCUAUGGCGCGGUGAAUACGUACCCGGGCCUUGUACACACCGCCCGU